UUACCACAUAAUUGCUGCCUCAGAGUGUUCUUGGAAUCAUUCUUGGAGGUGGUGCGGGGACUAGAUUGUCCCCCCUGACAAACAAGCGUGCCAAGCCUGCAGUUCCAUUGGGUGCCAACUACAGGCUCAUUGAUAUCCCUGUCAGCAAUUGUCUCAACAGCAACAUCUCAAAGAUCUAUGUGCUGACACAGUCAAGAGCCUAGGGAAGCAACAUUGGAGGUUACAAGAAUGAAGGCUCAGGGCACGUCCCAAUGUGGAUUUGUUGAAGUGUUAGCCGCGCAGCAGAGUCCAGAUAAUCCAAAGUGGUUCCAGGUAUCUGUACUAAUGUUGUGUGUUCUCUGAUUUUCUCUAAUGUGGAAUGUGCCAUUUCAGUAGCAUGCACGUCGGGGGUUUCUAAUAUGAGAUUUCAGCCUUAUUCUGAGACUAAACAUAGAGUGAAACAAAGGGAUGCUGCUCUGCUCAUUUUGCAUGAAUUUCAUCGGGAAAAUAUGUGCUCCAUUGCAAGUUGCAAUACUACAAUGGCAAGUCCAGCAUCUUUUCCACUUACAUGAUCCUCUGAUUGUUUGUUGAUGGAUCUUAAUGUGAACAAUAGGAUGAUAAGGUCCACACAGUUCUUUUCAAAAAAGGUCCACAAUGUUUUCAUAUUCUGUUGUACAUUUAUUUGCAUAUUUAGUUGCCCUUGAACAUUAAUAUGUUAUUAUUUUCCUUUUAUGAGUCCAAAUUUGACCAACAUUCGUGACAUGUAUUUUGAUGAUAGUCCUGGUAAUAUGUUCGUGCACUACUAUUUAUCUUUGGUCAAUGAUCUGUUUAUUGUGUGAAAAUUAUGUUUGAUGACUUCUAUUUACCUUGGAUAUUCACGUAUUUUUUAUGAUUUUUUUAUUACCCAUGACAACGCACGCACGGGCAUUCACCUAGUUAAAUUAAAGGACGUGUGGGUUGGGGGGGGGGACGCCUGGUCUCUCUGAUCUGGUUUGGCUAAGUAAUGUGUACGGAACCAUCAGUGCACACGUCCAUGUCGUCGUUGCGCCUCAACCAUAUCAUCUACCUACUGCAUGCAUUAAAGUUCUACGAACUACCCCUCCAUUUUUAAAUAUAUGACCCUAUUAACUUUUUUCAUUGUUUGACCUUUCAUCCUUUCUAUAAAUUUUUAUACAAAAAUAUAAUUUUAGAAGUUAAAUAUAAAGUACAUUUGAUGAUUAAUCUAGUGGUACUUAUUUUACUUUACUGAACUCGUUAGUCAAACUUUGAGUAAAAAAAAAAUCAAUUGUGCCAUAUAUUUAAGAAUGGAGGUGUUGACGAUCAAAAUUAGCAGCCCAUCAGGAAACCUGGAUACUCCGGAUAAAAGGCCGGUUACUCCGGACUAAAGUUCGAAUGCCCGAACAUUAGCCCGGAUACUCCGAGCCUACAGGUUUGAUCAGUCGAGUUUAGCGGUCUGACUGGUCCAUUUGAAGUCCGCAGAAAACUAGAGUUUUUUUAGAUUUAGAAAUGUAAAAAUGAUUUCUUGUGGGGCAAGACCUCCCCACCCUCCCCACCCUAUAAAUAUAAAGGGCCACGACCGAUUGAGGUAUCCAAUUGAUCAAAAACAUAUCAUUCUAUUACUUUUCAUCACUUUGCAUUACUUUUUGUCUACUCCAAACCGUAGCUCUUUCAACCCCCAUAUUUAUUGUUCUUCUCUCGUCUUCACGAUAUUUGAAGGCGUUCUAGGUGGCAUGCUGACCCUAAAACAACCCUGUGUGCGCUUGCCCUGACGGGAAAAAAUUAAAGGAUCUUCUACCAUAGUGAAGCUAACAAAUCCUAGUGAGGUUGAUGCCAACAAUAUCGUUAAGACGAUUAUUGACGAAUUGUCAGAGGAAGAUCGUCAAGCUUAUGAAACCUUCAUCAAGUAAUGUGAAGAAGAGAGCAUACAACGCAAAGCCAAAGAGAUUGAAGAAAAGCGUCAAUGGUGGUUGUCUCACUUCUCCAAGAAUCGGAAGGGUGGCGUCUCCAAGAACAAGGAGGUGGUCGUUCUUUCAGAGGAGAAAGAGCGUACCAAGGCAAACACCAAUACAAAUACAAUCGACCACAAAUGAAAAGACGAUUGGUUAUUCCUGCAAUGCAAAUCGAUCAGAAUCCUUUUCCCGUUCAUACACUUGAGUUGACAAAUCCACAAGUGUUGAUUUGGCAAAACCAAGUUGAAUCUGCCAAAGAGAAAAAUGUGAUCAUUUGUGAAGAGAGGACCGAAGAAAAAGUGAUGCAGAAAAGACCCCUCGAGUUGCAAAAAAAAGGCUUCAAUGCCCGAGGGGCAAGACAAGAAGACGAGGACUGGUGACAAGUCAACCGGUCUAACCGUUUCACAGGGUGGUCUGACCGGUGUACUAACCAAUAUAACCGGUACAGAGACCGGUCUGUCCAGCGUGUUGAGUGGGCUUGCAAGUUCCUUCAAGAUCAAGAACGAAACAAGGCCGAGCUUCAAAGAGCUCUUGGCCAAAUAUGAGCAGAAAGGAGCCACCCAGAAAUAGAACGAACGACCAAAUAAAGCCGAAGAUACACAAUCAUCAUCAAGACAUUGUGAGCAACUGGAUCCUCGUUCAUGUCAAGGUACAAGUGCUGCACCAUAUUCAUUCUUUGGAUCAGUUACUCCCUGGUUUUUGUCAUAUCCUUAUUACUAUUCACCUUCGGAUUAUAGUAGCUUGUAUAUGCAACCAUAUAUCAUACAAUAUCCUUCUACAUUUCCGAAUUGUGAUUCAUUACAAAGAUCAGUUGUUACUAAUAAUAAUCUAGUCAAAAGCAAGUUUGAAGAGUGAGAAGAGUGUGAAGCAAGAUUCAAAAUAUUUGCAGCCGAUGUGGUGUCCCUCUUGCUUAACUCACACUCAAAAGAGGAAGUUGCAACGAUUACACAGACGAUAAUCAUUGGAGCAUCAAUCUGAUCCAAAGCCAGCACCGUCUGCACCAACCAAGAACAAGUGGAGGCCAAAGAAGACAACUUCAACAUCAACUUGAGCAAAGUCAAGAUAUAUGGCCGAUGCAUAGUUCCAUCAUCCUUAGAAUAAAUAUAUGGCCGAUGUACUAUUCAUCAUCGCCCUUAGACAAUUUUUGUCCAAAAGAUUAUUUUUGAUUUGCAAGCAUUGCCAAAAAACAAGGGGGCAUAUGUUGACGACCAAAAUUGGUAGCCAGAUUAGAAAACCCGGAUACCCUGGGCUAAAGUUUGGACAUCCGAACAUUAGCCCAGAUACUCCAGGUUUAAGCUUGGAUACUCCGGUCCUACCGGUCUGAUUGGUCCGUUUUAGUAGUCUGACCGGUCCAUUCGAAGUCCGAAGGAAAUUAGAGUUUUUCUUAGAUUUAGAUCUGUAAAAAGAAUUUUUUGCGGGGCAAGACCUUCCCACCCUAUAAAUAUAAAGAGCCACGGCCGAUUGAGGUAUCCAAUCGAUCAAAAAUAUACUAAUCUAUUACUUUUCAUUACUUUGCAUUACUCUUUGUCUUCUCCAAACUCUAGCUCUUCCAACCUCAAUAUUUUCUGUUCUUCUCUCGUCUCCAUGAUGUUUGAAGGCAUUCUAGGUUGCCUGCCGACCCUAGUACAAUCCUGCGUGCGCUUGCCCUGACGGGUCCCUCCCGGGCGAGCGUUCGUCGGAUCUUCGCCGGCCUUCAACGAAGACCGAUUUGACCGAACUCCCUGACCGAUCUGACCGGACCUAAAUGGCGGCGCUGCAACGUGUGCCUCUGCUCGCUGCACGUGCUAGUGCUCUCGUGUGUUGGCCCAGAAUUUGCGCCAACAGGCGGGACCGCGCAAUAUCUUUAUUCAUCGCUAACAUAAUAUGGCGUAUGUCCGCUCUAUCCAAAGCCCUCGAGUACCACACGCUUGAAUAAAAGAGAGAAAAUAUAAUGUAGUAGCCACCAUUACAGCGAAGUAUAAACUUUUCAUUGGUAAUCUAUGCAUUUAAAUGUCCGAGUUUUUGUCAUGAAAAUUGUACUUCAUGACAUGCAUCACUGACAUAAUUUCGCUAACCGGUCCGUGUGCUAGGUUAACAUGAAUUUUCCUGUGUUUUUUCGAAUUGGGGCCAGCUGAGAGUGUGCUAACAGCCAAAAUUGGCACCAACCGGUCUGACCGGGCCGACCGA